GACGAACGCUGGCGGCGUGCUUAACACAUGCAAGUCGAACGAAGUGGCGAACGGGUGAGUAACUCGUAAUCAACCUGCCCUUCAGAGGGGGACAACAGUUGGAAACGACUGCUAAUACCGCAUACUGAAGGAGGGGAUUGCGUCUGAUUAGCUAGUUGGCGGGGUAACGGCCCACCAAGGCGAUGAUAAGUAGCCGGUCUGAGUGGAUUAACGGCCACAUUGGGACUGGUACAAUGCCCAGACUCCUACGGGAGGCCGCAGUGGGGAAUCUUCCGCAAUUGACGAAAGUCUGACGGAGCAACGCCGCGUGAGUGAUGACGGCCUUCCGGUUGUAAAGCUCUGUUAAUCGGGACGCGGUACCGGAAUAGAAAGCCACGGCUAACUACGUGCCAGCAGCCGCGGUAAUAC
rnacentral:rRNA from 1 species